UGACCAGUUAAUGAAUGAAUCACUCAGACAGU
rnacentral:piRNA from 1 species